rnacentral:rRNA from 1 species
UGAUCCAGCAACGCCGCGUGGAGGAUGAAGGCCUUCGGGUUGUAAACUCCUGUCAGUAGGGACGAAAGGAGCGGGGACAAUACCCCCCGUCUCCCUGACGGUACCUGACAGAGGAAGCCCCCAGCUAACUCCGUGCCAGCAGCCGCGGUAAUACGGAGGGGGCAAGCGUUAUUCGGAAUUAUUGGGCGUAAAGGGCGCGUAGGCGGCUCCGUAAGUCAGGGGUGAAAUCCCUCGGCUCAACCGAGGAACUGCCUCUGAAACUACAGAGCUUGAGUCCGGGAGAGGGUGGUGGAAUUCCCAGUGUAGCGGUGAUAUGCGUAGAUACUGGGAGGAACACCAGUGGCGAAGGCGGCCACCUGGACCGGUACUGACGCUGAGGCGCGAAAGCGUGGGGAGCAAACAGGAUUAGAUACCCUGGUAGUCCACGCCGUAAACGAUGGGCACUCGGUGCUGCGGGUGUCGACCCCUGCAGUGCCUUAGGUAACCCGUUAAGUGCCCCGCCUGGGGAGUACGGUCGCAAGGCUG